rnacentral:lncRNA from 1 species
AUUACAAAAAUUAUACAGAUAUUAUUUAGCUUAUCCUCAGGUAUUCUGAUUAGCUUUUUUAGCUACACUUUCCCAUUUACCUACCUUUUAGUCAGAACAUUGUUAUUCGGAGUGUUCAGUCACAAGGUCAGCCUAUUUUAUCAAAAUGUACCAGCAAAAGAUUGUUGUUAGCAUAUAUGAAAUUUGGUCACGAUGUACACUAUUUUGUCUGUGUAAGAUUUAU